ACUACGGGAGGCAACAGUGAGGAAUAUUGGUCAAUGGCCGGAAGGCUGAACCAGCCAAGCCGCGUGAAGGACGAAGGUGCCAAGCAUUGUAAACUUCUUUUGUCAAGGGACAAAAUCAGGCGCGAGAGCCUGACCGAGGGUACGUGAAGAAAAAGCAUCGGCUAACUCCGUGCCAGCAGCCGCGGUAAUACGGAGGCUGCGAGCGUUAUCCGGUUGGAUUGGGUUUAAAGGGGGCGUAGGCGGGCUGUUAAGUCAGCGGUAAAAGCCCGGGGCUCCACCCCGGCGAGCCGUUGAAACUGGCUGUCUUGAGAUGUCGAGAGGUAUGCGGCAUUCGCAGUGUAGCGGUGAACUGCUUAGAUAUUGCGCAGAACUCCGAUUGCGAAGGCAGCAUACCGGCGGCGAUCUGACGCUGAUGCACG
rnacentral:rRNA from 1 species